rnacentral:rRNA from 1 species
GACGAACGCUGGCGGCGUGCUUAACACAUGCAAGUCGAACGGAAAAGCCCUGCUUUUGUGGGGUGCUCGAGUGGCGAACGGGUGAGUAACACGUGAGUAACCUGCCCUUGACUUUGGGAUAACUUCAGGAAACUGGGGCUAAUACCGGAUAGGAGCUCCUGCUGCAUGGGGGGGGUUGGACAGUUUCGGCGGUGGUGGAUGGACUCGCGGCUUAUCAGCUUGUUGGUGGGGUAGUGGCUUACCAAGGCUUUGACGGGUAGCCGGCCUGAGAGGGUGACCGCCCACCUGGGGACUGAGAUACGGCCCAGACUCCUACGGGAGGCAGCAGUGGGAAAUAUUGCACAAUGGGCGGAAGCCUGAUGCAGCAACGCCGCGUGCGUGAUGACGGCCUUCGGGUUGUAAACCGCUUUCGCCUGUGACGAAGCGGGAGUGACGGUAAUGGGUAAAGAAGCACCGGCUAACUACGUG